UCCCUAGUGGUUCAGUAAUUUGGUCUCGGCACUUUCACUGCUGGGGUCCAGGUUCAAUUCCUGGUUGGGGAA
rnacentral:tRNA from 1 species